rnacentral:rRNA from 1 species
UGGGGAAUUUUGGACAAUGGGGGAAACCCUGAUCCAGCCAUCCCGCGUGUGCGAUGAAGGCCUUCGGGUUGUAAAGCACUUUUGGCAGGAAAGAAACGUCGCGGGUUAAUACCCCGCGAAACUGACGGUACCUGCAGAAUAAGCACCGGCUAACUACGUGCCAGCAGCCGCGGUAAUACGUAGGGUGCAAGCGUUAAUCGGAAUUACUGGGCGUAAAGCGUGCGCAGGCGGUUCGGAAAGAAAGAUGUGAAAUCCCAGAGCUUAACUUUGGAACUGCAUUUUUAACUACCGGGCUAGAGUGUGUCAGAGGGAGGUGGAAUUCCGCGUGUAGCAGUGAAAUGCGUAGAUAUGCGGAGGAACACCGAUGGCGAAGGCAGCCUCCUGGGAUAACACUGACGCUCAUGCACGAAAGCGUGGGGAGCAAACAGGAUUAGAUACCCUGGUAGUCCACGCCCUAAACGAUGUCAACUAGCUGUUGGGGCCUUCGGGCCUUGGUAGCGCAGCUAACGCGUGAAGUUGACCGCCUGGGGAGUACGGUCGCAAGAUUAAAAACUU